AUUGAACGCUGGCGGCAGGCCUAACACAUGCAAGUCGAGCGGAUGAAGGGAGCUUGCUCCUGGAUUCAGCGGCGGACGGGUGAGUAAUGCCUAGGAAUCUGCCUGGUAGUGGGGGAUAACGUCCGGAAACGGGCGCUAAUACCGCAUACGUCCUGAGGGAGAAAGUGGGGGAUCUUCGGACCUCACGCUAUCAGAUGAGCCUAGGUCGAAUUAGCUAGUUGGUGGGGUAAAGGCCUACCAAGGCGACGAUCCGUAACUGGUCUGAGAGGAUGAUCAGUCACACUGGAACUGAGACACGGUCCAGACUCCUACGGGAGGCAGCAGUGGGGAAUAUUGGACGAUGGGCGAAAGCCUGAUCCAGCCAUGCCGCGUGUGUGAAGAAGGUCUUCGGAUUGUAAAGCACUUUAAGUUGGGAGGAAGGGCAGUAAGUUAAUACCUUGCUGUUUUGACGUUACCAACAGAAUAAGCACCGGCUAACUUCGUG
rnacentral:rRNA from 1 species